UACGAAGGGGGCUAGCGUUGCUCGGAAUUACUGGGCGUAAAGCGCACGUAGGCGGCUUUCUAAGUCGGGGGUGAAAUCCUGGAGCUCAACUCCAGAACUGCCUUUGAUACUGAGGAUCUUGAGUCCGGGAGAGGUGAGUGGAACUGCGAGUGUAGAGGUGAAAUUCGUAGAUAUUCGCAAGAACACCAGUGGCGAAGGCGGCUCACUGGCCCGGUACUGACGCUGAGGCACGAAAGCGUGGGGAGCAAACAGG
rnacentral:rRNA from 1 species